rnacentral:rRNA from 1 species
GAUGAACGCUGGCGGCGUGCCUAAUACAUGCAAGUCGAGCGAACAGACGAGGAGCUUGCUCCUCUGACGUUAGCGGCGGACGGGUAAGUAACACGUGGAUAACCUACCUAUAAGACUGGGAUAACUUCGGGAAACCGGAGCUAAUACCGGAUAAUAUAUUGAGCCGCAUGGUUCAAUGGUGAAAGACGGUUUUGCUGUCACUUAUAGAUGGAUCCGCGCCGCAUUAGCUAGUUGGUAAGGUAACGGCUUACCAAGGCAACGAUGCGUAGCCGACCUGAGAGGGUGAUCGGCCACACUGGAACUGAGACACGGUCCAGACUCCUACGGGAGGCAGCAGUAGGGAAUCUUCCGCAAUGGGCGAAAGCCUGACGGAGCAACGCCGCGUGAGUGAUGAAGGUCUUCGGAUCGUAAAACUCUGUUAUUAGGGAAGAACAAAUGUGUAAGUAACUAUGCACGUCUUGACGGUACCUAAUCAGAAAGCCACGGCUAACUACGUG